rnacentral:tRNA from 1 species
GCGCCGGUGGUGUAAGGCGUAGCAUCCUGUCCCGGAGAGCAGAGGGUGCGGGUUCGAGUCCCGUCUGGCGCA